GUGAAGUGUACAGUAAGCUGUGUAAGCAUAGGCAGGUUGGAGGAGUCGGACAGACGGAGUGUCUGUCUCUCUGCAGCUUGCUGGAGAGCAGAGGAAUCCUCAUUCUCAAAAAGGCCAAAGAAGCUCGGUUGAUUAAAAUCUCCCUGAAGAUUGAAGAGCGAGACGUGGAAAACGCUUUGAAGGAUCGAACUCUCCUUGGUAGCAUAUUAGCGGCUGGUCUGCCAUAAUCUACACACGAGUUUUUACUUUUUUUAUUUUCUUUUUUUUCUCAUUCCUUUAAAUAUUUUAUAUUGAUGAGCUGUGAAAGUCUUAAUUAAAAUGAGAUGUGCUGUUUUAAAGACUGAUGAUUUGAUCCAAAAAGGGUUAAUGUCAUUUUAUUAUGUUUGUGUCAAACGUUUUACCUGCCUUUUGAAGUGUCAUUCUUCUUUGAUGCUUCCAAACAGAAGAUAUUGCCUUCUAUUUUAUUUUGUACAUCAGCUUUGUAAUGUUUUUUAGAGGGGGAUACACUUUUAAUAAAGCAGAAUGUACAUGA